GUCGAGCCUCGUAACGUUGGCUUGUGAUCCAAGUGGAGGCAAUAAAGUGAUGGGACGUUGGGUUGAUCUCCAUUGGGCCGGGUUCAGGUUGCGCUAUUACUUGGCUCGCCCAUUCCAAGUUGGGAGUUGAGGCAAAGGGGCUUGAACGUAGGCUCGGGUCAUUUGUCUUCUAGAGUGGAAGAGAUUGCGUGAGGCUGGUUUCACAGAGCAGCGUCCACCUCCCGCUCUUGACGGUGGAAGGAUAACGAGCCAUGGUCUUCCGAGCCCACUAUGACCUGAAAAGCCAAUUCCAAUUGGACCAUCAUU
rfam:Arabis alpina cultivar Pajares Aa.chr8_contig_2066, whole genome shotgun sequence.